GAUGAACGCUGGCGGCGUGCCUAAUACAUGCAAGUCGAGCGAACGGACGAGAAGCUUGCUUCUCUGAUGUUAGCGGCGGACGGGUGAGUAACACGUGGAUAACCUACCUAUAAGACUGGGAUAACUUCGGGAAACCGGAGCUAAUACCGGAUAAUAUUUUGAACCGCAUGGUUCAAAAGUGAAAGACGGUCUUGCUGUCACUUAUAGAUGGAUCCGCGCUGCAUUAGCUAGUUGGUAAGGUAACGGCUUACCAAGGCAACGAUGCAUAGCCGACCUGAGAGGGUGAUCGGCCACACUGGAACUGAGACACGGUCCAGACUCCUACGGGAGGCAGCAGUGGGGAAUCUUCCGCAAUGGGCGAAAGCCUGACGGAGCAACGCCGCGUGAGUGAUGAAGGUCUUCGGAUCGUAAAACUCUGUUAGUAGGGAAGAACAUAUGUGUAAGUAACUGUGCACAUCUUGACGGUACCUAAUCAGAAAGCCACGGCUAACUACGUG
rnacentral:rRNA from 1 species